AUCCGGGUUGCGGACAGUGUCUGGUGGGUAGUUUGACUGGGGCGGUCUCCUCCCAAAGAGUAACGGAGGAGCACGAAGGUUAGCUAAUCCUGGUCGGACAUCAGGAGGUUAGUGCAAUGGCAUAAGCUAGCUUGACUGCGAGAGUGACGGCUCGAGCAGGUGCGAAAGCAGGUCAUAGUGAUCCGGUGGUUCUGAAUGGAAGGGCCAUCGCUCAACGGAUAAAAGGUACUCCGGGGAUAACAGGCUGAUACCGCCCAAGAGUUCAUAUCGACGGCGGUGUUUGGCACCUCGAUGUCGGCUCAUCACAUCCUGGGGCUGAAGUAGGUCCCAAGGGUAUGGCUGUUCGCCAUUUAAAGUGGUACGCGAGCUGGGUUUAGAACGUCGUGAGACAGUUCGGUCCCUAUCUGCCGUGGGCGCUGGAGAAUUGAGGGGGGCUGCUCCUAGUACGAGAGGACCGGAGUGGACGCAUCACUGGUGUUCGGGUUGUCAUGCCAAUGGCACUGCCCGGUAGCUAAAUGCGGAAGAGAUAAGUGCUGAAAGCAUCUAAGCACGAAACUUGCCCCAAGAUGAGUUCUCCCUGAGACUAUAAGUCUCCUGAAGGAACGUUGAAGACGACGACGUUGAUAGGUCGGGUGUGUAAGCGCAGCGAUGCGUUGAGCUAACCGAUACUAAUGAACCGUGAGGCUUAACCUUACAACGCCGAAGCUGUU
rnacentral:rRNA from 1 species